rnacentral:rRNA from 1 species
UCCUACGGGAGGCAGCAGUGAGGAAUAUUGCGCAAUGGGCGAAAGCCUGACGCAGCAACGCCGCGUGGAGGAUGAAGGCCCUCGGGUUGUAAACCCCUUUCGGGAGGGAAGAAAUUGACGGUACCUGCAGAAAAAGCGCCGGCUAACUACGUGCCAGCAGCCGCGGUAAUA